rnacentral:rRNA from 1 species
AGCGAACGCUGGCGGCAGGCCUAACACAUGCAAGUCGAACGAACUCUUCGGAGUUAGUGGCGGACGGGUGAGUAACACGUGGGAACGUGCCUUUAGGUUCGGAAUAACUCAGGGAAACUUGUGCUAAUACCGAAUGUGCCCUUCGGGGGAAAGAUUUAUCGCCUUUAGAGCGGCCCGCGUCUGAUUAGCUAGUUGGUGAGGUAAAGGCUCACCAAGGCGACGAUCCGUAGCUGGUCUGAGAGGAUGAUCUGCCACAUUGGGACUGGGACACGGCCCAAACUCCUACGGGAGGCAGCAGUGGGGAAUCUUGCGUAAUGGGCGAAAGCCUGACGCAGCCAUGCCGCGUGAAUGAUGAAGGUCUUAGGAUUGUAAAAUUCUUUCACCGGGGACGAUAAUGACGGUACCCGGAGAAGAAGCCCCGGCUAACUUCGUGCCAGCCGCCGCCGUAA